AGAAAAAUGCUUUCGAAUGGGGUUCAUCAAGGAUUCCACAUUCUGAAGAUGCAAUUCAAGUCACUACACAUGUUGCCAACUAUUUUAUAAGUGAAGCUAGAAAAUCUUCUAACAAGCCAGUGGCGCGAGAAGUGCUUGAUAGUCUCAUAUACAAUAACAAUCCCACUUAUGGUGGGAAGGCAGGGAAGGGUUAUGACGAAGUUUAUCUCUUCAUUCCACAUUCUUCCUCGAGCUCUAUGUAGAGGAAAAAACAGCAGUUCAAUUGAGCAAUAACAACUGCACAAUCUAAUUACGAUGCAUAUGAAGUUAGUGUGUGAUGUAAACCGCGUUGCAACUGGCAUUCAAUCUCCGGAUACAGUCCUCACAACCAAAUGGGGAGGGAGGUAAAACUAGUUGUAUCGUAUUUGUUAGAGGUGGAUCCAUGAUUUUAAGCUUAUCCGUUCUGGACCACAAGCCUUUUAGCUUAAUGGAGAUUAUGUAUAUUAAGUGAAUUUUUUUAAAACAUAAAUACAGUGUCUUGCCAAAGUUAUUUUAGAUAUUAUGCAUGAAAUUAAACAGAG
rnacentral:misc_RNA from 1 species